CGUUUAGGUGCGUUGUCAUGCGCCAAGAAAGCUGGUACACAGAAAAAAUUGGGGGUUCAAGGGUUUAGCUUUCUCUGCUUUCCGCCGCUGAAUUGCGCUGUCGAAGGAUAAUAGCUGCUAUUUAUACACAAUUGUAUGGAGAUCGAUUUAGAUGUCAAAGAUGGCUCCCUCAUUCUGAUAAAGCAAGGCGCUGAAGCGAGAGUUUUUGAGUCUAAUUUUGUUGGAAGGAGGUCUAUUGUCAAGGAACGCUUCUCAAAGAAGUAUAGGCAUCCAUCUUUGGAUUCUAAACUUACACUCAAACGCUUAAAUGCGGAAGCAAGAUGCAUGACAAAGGCAAGGCGACUUGGGGUUUCUACUCCAGUGCUGUACGCUGUGGAUCCUUUACUGCAUACCCUCACAUUUGAGUAUGUGGAGGGUCAUUCUGUGAAAGAUGUCUUUCUUGAAUUUGGGUUACAUGGUGUUGUGGAAGAACGCAUGGAUGAUAUUGCAACACAGAUUGGUGAUGCAAUUGGAAAACUACAUGAUGGUGGCCUCAUUCAUGGUGACUUGACCACAUCAAACAUGUUAAUCCGGAAUGGCACUAAUCAAGUGGUCCUUAUUGAUUUUGGUCUGAGCUUCACAUCAAGCCUUCCUGAAGACAAGGCAGUUGAUUUGUAUGUACUGGAACGAGCCUUGCUUUCAAUGCAUUCUUCAUGUGGGAAUGUGGUAAGUUACGAAGUUUUUUAUUCUAUUGACUGUAAUUUCAGUUGUGCACUGCUAGAUUGGCAGUUGAUAUAUGUAAAGUGAAAUCUGAAACGUACAGCCUAUAGUUUAAUAUUUUUACCAGUUUGCAUACAACCAGAAGUCCUUUCCCCAGAAGUCAUUGAAACAAUUGUUAGAAAAUAGGUCCCAAGCAUGUGUUAUAGUUUUCUGUAUCCUGUGCGGUUCAAAAUUAUAAAUUUACGUUUAAGACAUGUAUUAAGUUGAGGGACAAUCUGUGCAAUUCUUGUAUAGAUGGAUCGUGUGCUUGCUGCAUAUAGGAAAUCCUCAAAGCAAUGGUCAUCCACAAUGAACAAGCUAGCCCAAGUUCGCCAAAGGGGUCGAAAGCGCACCAUGGUUGGAUAGGCUUUUUCAACAGUUUGUCCUGCACAAGGGAAAGAGGAAGAGACAUCUGUUGGACCUUUAAUGUUUUCUGUUGAAUUGAUUGAUGUUAGGACUUAGGACAGCAAAUGUAGCUGUAUCUGCAUAGUGUAACUGUAUUCUAAUGCAUAUGCACGUCUAGAAGUACAAUCAAGGUUUU
rnacentral:misc_RNA from 1 species